rnacentral:ribozyme from 1 species
UUUAGAAUACGUAGCGACUUGAUCCUUUUACAAAGCAAAGAACUGGAAAGGCUUCUGAAUCGAAUCGUAAUGUUCAUUCAUCAGAGCCAAUUUGUUUUUCCAAGAUUACACUAAGUUGAGGAAUCAUACCUGCCGAUUUUCAAUCAAUUUCCUUUUU